GAACGAACGCUGGCGGCGCGUUUUAAGCAUGCAAGUCGAGCGGUAACUAUCCUUCGGGAUAGCUAGAGCGGCGAACGGGUGAGUAACACGUAGGUAAUCUGCCGUACGAUUGGGGAUAGCCCAUGGAAACAUGGGGUAAUACCGAAUACGACCUUCGGGGGAAAGGCGCUUCGGCGCCGUCGUACGAUGAGCCUGCGUCGCAUUAGUUAGUUGGCGGGGUAAAAGCCCACCAAGGCGACGAUGCGUAGCCGACCUGAGAGGGUGAUCGGCCACACUGGGACUGAGAUACGGCCCAGACUCCUACGGGAGGCAGCAGCUAAGAAUCUUCCGCAAUGGACGAAAGUCUGACGGAGCGACGCCGCGUGGGCGAGGAAGGCCGAAAGGUUGUAAAGCCCUUUUCUGCGUGAGGAAUAAGAACCGGAGGCAAUGCCGGUUUGAUGACGGUAGCGCAGGAAUAAGCCCCGGCCAAUUACGUGCCAGCAGCCGCGGUAACACGUAUGGGGCGAGCGUUGUUCGGAAUUAUUGGGCGUAAAGGGCGCGCAGGCGGUUAUACAAGCUUGGUGUGAAAGACCACGGCUCAACGGUGGAAACGCGCUGAGAACUGUAUGACUUGAGUUUUAGAGGGGGAGUUGGAAUUCCAGGUGUAGGGGUGAAAUCUGUAGAUAUCUGGAAGAACAUCAGUGGCGAAAGGCGAGCUCCUGGCUAUGAACUGACGCUGAGGCGCGAAAGCGUGGGGAGCGAACAGGAUUAGAUACCCUGGUAGUCCACGCCGUAAACGAUGUGCACUAGGUGUUGGGCUUUCGAAGGCUCAGUGCCGCAAGUUAACACGUUAAGUGCACCGCCUGGGGAGUAUGCCCGCAAGGGUGAAACUCAAAGGAAUUGACGGGGGCCCGCACAAGCAGCGGAGCGUGUGGUUUAAUUCGACAACGCGAAGAACCUUACCCAGAUUUGACAUGCGACUGCAAGCGCACGGAAACGUGUGACCUGCGAGGGUGUCGCACAGGUGCUGCAUGGCUGUCGUCAGCUCGUGUCGUGAGAUGUUGGGUUAAGUCCCGCAACGAGCGCAACCCCCGCCGUCAGUUAUACGUGUCUGGCGGGACUGCCGGCUGUUUGGUCGGAGGAAGGCGGGGAUGACGUCAAGUCCGCAUGGCCCGUACGUCUGGGGCGACACACACGCUACAAUGGCCGGCACAGCACGCCGCAAACCCGCAAGGGGGAGCUAAUCGCCAACGCCGGUCCCAGUGCAGAUCGGGGGCUGCAACUCGCCCCCGUGAAGGCGGAGUUGCUAGUAACCGCGUAUCAGCCAUGGCGCGGUGAAUACGUACCCGGGCCUUGUACUCACC
rnacentral:rRNA from 1 species